rnacentral:lncRNA from 1 species
GCUGAGCUAGGACAAGAAGAUUGCUGACCUGGAAAUGUGGGAGAUGAUGUUGACACCUUUAAUAACAAGGAUGUCAAUGAUUUGACUGAUUGGUGCCCUCUGGUGGUAAAGAAAACGGGACACACGCCUUCAGUCUGUAUGGCAUCACCUGGUGCUCUUCAAGAGAGGGGUCUCUUGAAGAAUUCUUUCUUCCAAAGAGAAAUGAUAUGGAAAUCUUGAAAGAUAAAUGAGAGGAUUUCAGAAGUUUAUUUAUUAGGGAGGGAAGAGGUAUAAAGAAACUUCAGUUAUCUGAUACAAGCUCAGUAGGGGCAGGUCUCUGUCACUAUCAGACACAAGGAGGGAUGAAUUGCAAGAGGAGGAUUUUCAUGAUGGAGAGAAAAGAAGAUACCCUCUUUGGCAUCCAAGUACACUCAGCUAGUAUUUUCCAUCAUUUUGGAACCUAAUUUUCCCAUGAGACUUCCUAAAGGAAAGAAUCAGAAUCAACAUUUCAUGAAUAAAAUGCCAGAACUACAAAA